GACGAACGCUGGCGGCGUGCUUAACACAUGCAAGUCGAACGAAGUGGCCAAAGGGUGAGUAACGCGUAAUCAACCUGCCCUUCAGAAGGGGACAACAGUUGGAAACGACUGGUAAUACCGAAUACUGAAGGAGGGGAUAGCGUCUGAUUAGCUAGUUGGAGGGGUAACGGCCCACCAAGGCGAUGAGCAGUAGCCGGUCUGAUAGGAUGAACGGCCACAUUGGCACUGAGACACGCCCCAGACUCCUACGGGAGGCAGCAGUGGGGACUCUUCCGCAAUGGACGAAAGUCUGACGGAGCAACGCCGCGUGAGUGAUGACGGCCUUCGGGUUGUAAAGCUCUGUUAAUCGGGACGCGGUACCGGAAUAGAAAGCCACGGCUAACUACGUGCCAGCAGCCGCGGUAAUAC
rnacentral:rRNA from 1 species